rnacentral:rRNA from 1 species
GGGGCAGCGGUGGUGAAGGCUUGCCUUUACCAGCCGGCGACCGGCGCACGGGUGAGUAACACGUAUGCAACCUGCCUGCCACAGCCGGAUAAUCGGGAGAAAUUCCGUCUAAUACGGCAUAAUGCACCUAUGGGACAUCCUGUUGGUGCCAAAGGUUGAUUCCGGUGGCGGAUGGGCAUGCGUCGCAUUAGUUAGUUGGCGGUGUAACGGACCACCAAGACGACGAUGCGUAGGGGUUCUGAGAGGAAGGUCCCCCACACUGGUACUGAGACACGGACCAGACUCCUACGGGAGGCAGCAGUGAGGAAUAUUGGUCAAUGGGCGGGAGCCUGAACCAGCCAAGUCGCGUGAGGGAUGACGGCCCUAUGGGUUGUAAACCUCUUUUGCCGGGGAGCAAAGUGCCGCACGUGUGCGGUUUGG